rnacentral:rRNA from 1 species
AGAGUUUGAUCCUGGCUCAGAACGAACGCUGGCGGCGUGCCUAACACAUGCAAGUCCAACGUGAAAGGGGAGCAAUCCCCUGGUAGGGUGGCAAGCGGGUGAGUAAUACAUGGGUGAUCUACCUUAGGGAUGGGGAUAUCCUUCCGAAAGGAGGGGCAAUACCGAAAUAUUGUCCGGAGCCGUGAAGGGUUCCGGGGAAAGGGAGGCCUCUGACACAAGCUUUCGCCUUAAGAUGAGCCCAUGGCCCAUCAGCUAGUUGGUAGGGUAAAGGCCUACCAAGGCUACGACGGGUCGCUGGUCUGAGAGGACGACCAGCCACACUGGCACUGAGAUACGGGCCAGACUCCUACGGGGGGCGAC